rnacentral:tRNA from 1 species
AAGGCCUUAGCUUAAUUAAAGUGUCUGCUUUGCAUGCAGAAGAUGUGGGUUAGUAUCCCGCAGGUCUUA